rnacentral:rRNA from 1 species
UACGUAGGGACCAAGCGUUGUUCGGAAUUACUGGGCGUAAAGGGCUCGUAGGCGGCCAACUAAGUCAGACGUGAAAUCCCUCGGCUUAACCGGGGAACUGCAUCUGAUACUGGAUGGCUUGAGAUUGGGAGAGGGAUGCGGAAUUCCAGGUGUAGCGGUGAAAUGCGUAGAUAUCUGGAGGAACACCGGUGGCGAAGGCGGCAUCCUGGACCAACACUGACGCUGAGGAGCGAAAGCCAGGGGAGCAAACGGG